rnacentral:rRNA from 1 species
AUGCGGAGGGGGUUAGCGUUGUUCGGAAUUACUGGGCGUAAAGCGUACGUAGGCGGAUCAGAAAGUAUAGGGUGAAAUCCCAGGGCUCAACCCUGGAACUGCCUUAUAAACUCCUGGUCUUGAGUUCGAGAGAGGUGAGUGGAAUUCCAAGUGUAGAGGUGAAAUUCGUAGAUAUUUGGAGGAACACCAGUGGCGAAGGCGGCUCACUGGCUCGAUACUGACGCUGAGGUGCGAAAGCGUGGGGAGCAAACAGGAUUAGAAACCCCGGUAGUCC